rnacentral:rRNA from 1 species
UACGUAGGGUGCAAGCGUUGUCCGGAAUUAUUGGGCGUAAAGAGCUCGUAGGCGGUUUGUCGCGUCUGCUGUGAAAACUCGGGGCUUAACUCCGGGCCUGCAGUGGGUACGGGCAGACUAGAGUUCGGUAGAGGAGUGUGGAAUUCCUGGUGGAGCGGUGAAAUGCGCAGAGAUCAGGAGGAACACCCGUAGCGAAGGCGGCACUCUGGGCCGAUACUGACACUGAGGAGCGAAAGCGUGGGGAGCGAACAGG